rnacentral:rRNA from 1 species
AUUGAACGCUGGCGGCAGGCCUAACACAUGCAAGUCGAGCGGAUGAAGGGAGCUUGCUCCUGGAUUCAGCGGCGGACGGGUGAGUAAUGCCUAGGAAUCUGCCUGGUAGUGGGGGAUAACGUCCGGAAACGGGCGCUAACACCGCAUACGUCCUGAGGGAGAAAGUGGGGGAUCUUCGGACCUCACGCUAUCAGAUGAGCCUAGGUCGGAUUAGCUAGUUGGUGGGGUAAAGGCCUACCAAGGCGACGAUCCGUAACUGGUCUGAGAGGAUGAUCAGUCACACUGGAACUGAGACACGGUCCAGACUCCUACGGGAGGCAGCAGUGGGGAAUAUUGGACAAUGGGCGAAAGCCUGAUCCAGCCAUGCCGCGUGUGUGAAGAAGGUCUUCGGAUUGUAAAGCACUUUAAGUUGGGAGGAAGGGCAGUAAGUUAAUACCUUGCUGUUUUGACGGUACCAACAGAAUAAGCACCGGCUAACUUCGUG